ensembl:lncRNA
CUCUUUGCGACCCGUGGACUGUAGCCCACCAGGCUCCUCCGUCCAUGGGAUUCUCCAGGCACGAAUACUGGAGUGGGUUGCCAUUUCCUUCUCCAGGGGAUCUUCCCGACCCAGAGAUUGAACCCAGGUCUCCCGCAUUGGAGGCAGACGCUUUAACCUGAAAGAUUUGGGUAAGUGUCGGCUAGCACUAUUAUCAGUGAAAUGAAGAUAAUAAUACCGAUCUCACAGGGUUGCUCUGAUCCCAAAAUGAGUUAAUGUGAUGAAAUUACUUAACACUGUACCUGGCACUCAACAAUGAUCAAUAAAUGGUAGAUAGGGAGGGGAGGUUAUCAUUGGGAUUGUUGCUGUUAUGAUUUUAGUGUGAUUCAGGACUAGGAAGGGGCAAGGAUGGGGAAAGAAUUUGAAAAUCUCAGUCCUCAUAUGCACACACGAUUUUUAAAAUUAACAAAGAACCUAGGUUGUCUUUGAUUUUAAAUUAUGGCUCCAGAAUCACCCAGCCCUCAGGGUCGUGGUUUAUGGUUCUUCCUGGCUGCCUCAGGCAAGGCGAAGGAACUUCAGCGUCCUGUCUUAAGAGGUGCUGGACAGGAGCAGGGAGAUGGAGGCUGACAGGGACCCUCCCUGACCUCGUCUGGCUCCCUCUGCACCAGACAGACCUGUAGGUCUGCUCUGCAGACCAUGGGGAAGUUGGGGUGCUCUUGGGCAGACCUGCUCAGAGUGGCUUUGAACUUGACUGACUUUCCAAGCUCCUGAUAUGCAUUACCAAGGCUUUCCUUGAAGAAAGAACAGGUACUUCAGGGCCAGAAGGGUCUGGAGAGAUCAGCUUUUCUGCCUUCCCAUCAGUCCUGCCUCCAUCUGCUCUUCGGAUUCAAGCCUGGGAGACAGCUUCUCAAGAGACCCUGAGAAAACCGCUCCAAGGAGGCGGGGAGUGUGGAGCAGUCAGGAUAUACAGAAGACUUCUUCUUCCCUGGCUGUAAGGGGGUCUGCACAUGGCCUUCCAUGGUUGCAGACCCUGAACUGAAAUUGCCUACUGAGUCUGAAUAAACCCAUCUCUGCUGGAGACACAUCCAGCAGUCUAUUUGUGUGAGGCCAGCACUUGCAUCAAGCUUGCUUUCCUCGAGUCAAUCACCCUCAGAAGCUGCAAGCAGCUGUUUGCAGGAAACCAGCCUCAGCAGGAAGCCCGUUUUCUUGUCACUUGAGCGUGAAGCUACAUUGGAACUAACUUGUAAACCAUGCUCUUCUCUUCUCUGGCCCAAGCACAGUUUUAAAAACUUUCAAUCACACAAUACCUUGUCUAAUUUGCUGGUUCUUUCUGUAAGAUCAACGGAGUAGAAAUGAAGAAUUAAUAAUUAACAGAUGACCAGAUCUUUACUCUGGCUUCCCCUCCAAUAAUCUCUCCAACAAACUGGGUGAACAAGAUAACAUCUACAGGAUGACCAUGAGGAGUGGACAGUCCUGCACACAGUGGGUGGUGACAACUCUGACCCUCCUCCAAUCUCAAUGAUUACCUGAGGCGACUUCCCUUUUCCCCUUUAAAAACUCUCAUGGCCGAACAGAGCCUUCACAGCUGGUUUUUGGGAAGCAGUGAGUCUACUCCACCGUCUCCCCAGGUGCCAGCAUUCUGAUUAAAGUCAUUUUCCCUUCUGCCAUUUGUGAGUAUGUAAUUGGCUUUGUAAAAAGUGAGCAAUGGGACCUGAUUCAUUUGGUAACACAGCUAAAACACUAAAAACGGUUAUUAUUAUGAAACCUAUCACAUAGGUUUUUAUCAUAUGAAAGACAGCAUAUAUGAUUUAAAGAAUAAUCAUAAAAUGAACACCCCUAGUCACCCUCCAGCUUAAGAAAUAGAAUUUACCAGCAUUCUAGACAUCCCCUAUAUUUCUUCCCAAAUUGCAUUUCCCUGUCUCCCCUCAGAGGUAACCUGCAUCCUGAAUUUUGUGCUAAUCAUUUUUAAAGUAUCCCUAAAUAAUACAUCAAUUAGUAUUGUGUGUUUUGGACUUAAUCAUUCUUCUAUGAACUACUUCAUUUCUCAAACUUAUGUUUUUGAGAUUCAGACAUGGUGAUUCAUCUGAAAGCUUAAGUGAGCUCAUGUCCUUCACCUGUUCAAACACUCUCAGUGGCUGCCCAAGACAGUUAGGAACUAAAUGCAGCCCCCUUUCUUUCCUCAGAAGGUCCUACAAGACUGGCUCUUGCUUGUUCCCCUGCCGCAUCUCUCCUGCCGCAUCUCCUUGUUUGCUCUGCUCCAGCUGCGCUGACUUCUUGGUUCUCAGGUAUGCUGGCAUGGCUCUGUUCCAGGAAGCGGGAUCCCUUCCGGGGCCCACGAGUGGGCUCCUGUCUAACACUCGGAAAUGAAUUGUCUGAGGAGACACACCCACCGACACGGAAAGAGAUUUUCCUGGGGAGGGCGCCAGGAGGGUAAGGGGGCCCAGGAGGAGUGCUCUGCCCCGUGACUUGCAGUCUUGGGCUUAUGGCGAUGGGAUUAGUUUCCAGGUUGUCUCUGGCCAGUCACUCUGACUCCGAGUCCUUUCUGGUGGUGCACGCACUCGAGUGAGGAGGAUUCUGGGAGGUUGGUAGGACACGUGGUGUCUCCUUUUGACCUUUCCUGAAUUCUUCCCUUGUUUUGGCUUGUUAUUUCUAUGUUCCUCACCAGGACCUCCUGUCAUAAAACAACUAACGCAAAUGGUUAUUAUUGUGCCUGGUGGUUC